AGUGAACGCUGGCGGUAGGCCUAACACAUGCCAGUCGAACGGCGGCACAGUAAGAGCUUGCUCUUACGGGUGGCGAGUGGCGGACGGGUGAGGAAUACAUCGGAAUCUACUUUUUCGUGGGGGAUAACGUAGGGAAACUUACGCUAAUACCGCAUACGACCUACGGGUGAAAGCAGGGGAUCUUCGGACCUUUCGCGAUUGAAUGAGCCGAUGUCGGAUUAGCUAGUUGGCUGGGUAAAGGCCCACCAAGGCGACGAUCCGUAGCUGGUCUGAGAGGAUGAUCAGCCAAACUGGAACUGAGACACGGUCCAGACUCCUACGGGAGGCAGCAGUGGGGAAUAUUGGACAAUGGGCGCAAGCCUGAUCCAGCAAUACCGCGUGGGUGAAGAAGGCCUUCGGGUUGUAAAGCCCUUUUGUUGGGAAAGAAAAGCAGCAGGUUAAUACCCCGCUGUUCUGACGGUACCCAAAGAAUAAGCACCGGCUAACUUCGUG
rnacentral:rRNA from 1 species